rnacentral:lncRNA from 1 species
CUUUGGGAAACAUUUCCCCCCAGUUUAUUGAGAUAUAAUUGACAAAUAAAAUUGUAUUAUAUUUAAAGUGUCAACAGUGGUGAUUUGAUAUAUGUAUGCAUUGCGAAAGGAUUCCCAGUCAAGUUAAUACAUUCAACUCACAUACUUACCUUUUUUUUUCUUUUGCUGAGGAAACUUAAGUUCGACUUUCUUAGCAAGUUAAUUUUAAUUAUACAACACUGUAUUAUCAACUACAGUCACCAUGUGAUACACUAGAUUCUCAGACCGUAUAAUCUUAUAACUGAAAUUUGUACCCUUUUGCAAACCUCUUCCCAUUUCCCCCACUCUCUAGCACCUGGCAAUUCUUUUUUUUUUUUUUUUGUCUUUUUUGCUAUUUAUUGGGCCGCUGCUGCGGCAUAUGGAGGUUCCCAGGCUAGGGGUCGAAUCGGAGCUGUAGCUGCCAGCCUACGCCAGAGCCACAGCAACUCGGGAUCUGAGCCGCAUCUGCAACCUACACCACAGCUCACGGCAACGCCGGAUCGUUAACCCACUGAGCAAGGCCAGGGACCGAACCCGCAACCUCAUGGUUCCUAGUCGGAUUCGUUAACCACUGCGCCACGACGGGAACUCACCAACGCCAGAUUCUUAACCCACUGAGCAAAGCCAGGGGUCGAACCUACAUCCUCAUGGAUACUAGUGGGAUUCAUUUCCAGUGCACCACGACGGGAACUCCCUGUAUAGAUAUCUUGAGUAGUGAUUUAAAUUCCUCUGGAUAUAUACCCCAAAGUGGGAGUGCUGGUAGUUUUUUUGUUUGUUUUGUUUUUUUGGUCUUUCUGUCUUUUCUAGGGCUGCUCCCUCGGCAUGUGGAGGUUCCCAGGCUAGGGGUCGAAUCGGAGCUGUAGCCACUGGCCUACGCCACAGCCACAGCAACUCGGGAUCCGAGCCGCCUCUGCAGCCUACACCACAGCUCACGGCAACACCAGAUCCUUAACCCGCUGAGCAAGGCCAGGGACUGAACCCGCAACCUCAUGGUUCCUAGUCGGAUUCACUAACCACUGAGCCAGGAGGGGAACUCCUGCUUUUGACUUCUA